UAGGCUACAAUUGGGAAGAUCAUAGUAUUGAAGAGCAUUGUCAGAGUUCUAGAAGACAUGUAAGGUAUGAAAACGGUCAUAGUGGAGACAAACCCUCUGAAGAUACUCAAUAUCACGAAGUCUUUGCACAUCACAGUAGUCCCCACACUUAUAAAAGUAUGAAUAAUGCCAGGUGUCCAUUUACGAGGUGGACAAGCAGGACUGUCAAAAAUUCAGCACCACUAGCAUGGACGGGGCCGUGAUGAUCUGGGAUUUCACGGUCGAGACCUGUCCCAGGAGAAUCCAUAUUUACCCACAUGGAAGCCUAUGAGGAGUUCACCACUGAUUGAAUAUACCUAACCUUGCUAUGCCAAGGCCCCAUAAAACGCAGAAGAGAUAGAACAAUAAAAAAACAACAUCUCUCCAUGCUCAGUGAUGUUUUGGAUGGGUCUAA